rnacentral:rRNA from 1 species
GAUGAACGCUGGUGGCGCGCCUAACACAUGCAAGUCGAACGGCACCCCUCUCCGGAGGGAAGCGAGUGGCGAACGGCUGAGUAACACGUGGAGAACCUGCCCCCUCCCCCGGGAUAGCCGCCCGAAAGGACGGGUAAUACCGGAUACCCCGGGGUGCCGCAUGGCACCCCGGCUAAAGCCCCGACGGGAGGGGAUGGCUCCGCGGCCCAUCAGGUAGACGGCGGGGUGACGGCCCACCGCGCCGACAACGGGUAGCCGGGUUGAGAGACCGACCGGCCAGAUUGGGACUGAGACACGGCCCAGACUCCUACGGGAGGCAGCAGUGGGGAAUCUUGCGCAAUGGGGGGAACCCUGACGCAGCGACGCCGCGUGCGGGACGGAGGCCUUCGGGUCGUAAACCGCUUUCAGCAGGGAAGAGUCAAGACUGUACCUGCAGAAGAAGCCCCGGCUAACUACGUGCCAGCAGCCGCGGUAAUACGUAGGGGGCGAGCGUUAUCCGGAUUCAUUGGGCGUAAAGCGCGCGUAGGCGGCCCGGCAGGCCGGGGUCCGAAACCGGGGGGCUCAACCCCCCGAAGCCCCCGGAACCUCCGCGGCUUGGGUCCGGUAGGGGAGGGUGGAACACCCGGUGUAGCGGUGGAAUGCGCAGAUAUCGGGUGGAACACCGGUGGCGAAGGCGGCCCUCUGGGCCGAGACCGACGCUGAGGCGCGAAAGCUGGGGGAGCGAACAGGAUUAGAUACCCUGGUAGUCCCAGCCGUAAACGAUGGACGCUAGGUGUGGGGGGACGAUCCCCCCGUGCCGCAGCCAACGCAUUAAGCGUCCCGCCUGGGGAGUACGGCCGCAAGGCUAAAACUCAAAGGAAUUGACGGGGGCCCGCACAAGCAGCGGAGCAUGUGGCUUAAUUCGAAGCAACGCGAAGAACCUUACCAGGGCUUGACAUAUGGGCGAAGCGGGGGAGACCCCGUGGCCGAGAGGAGCCCAUACAGGUGGUGCAUGGCUGUCGUCAGCUCGUGUCGUGAGAUGUUGGGUUAAGUCCCGCAACGAGCGCAACCCCCGCCGCGUGUUGCCAUCGGGUGAUGCCGGGAACCCACGCGGGACCGCCGCCGUCAAGGCGGAGGAGGGCGGGGACGACGUCAAGUCAUCAUGCCCCUUAUGCCCUGGGCUGCACACGUGCUACAAUGGCCGGUACAGAGGGAUGCCACCCCGCGAGGGGGAGCGGAUCCCGGAAAGCCGGCCCCAGUUCGGAUUGGGGGCUGCAACCCGCCCCCAUGAAGUCGGAGUUGCUAGUAAUCGCGGAUCAGCAUGCCGCGGUGAAUGCGUUCCCGGGCCU